AGACCAGUCAGAGUGGCUAAAAUGAACAAAUCAGGAGACUACAGCUGCUGGAGAGGAUGUGGAGAAAUGGGAACCCUCUUGCACUGCGGGUGGGAUUGCAUACUGGUGCCGCUGCUCUGGAAAAUAGGGUGGAGGUUCCUCAAAAAACUAAAAAUAGAACUACCCUAUGACCCAACAAUUGCACUACUAGGCAUUUAUCCAAGGCAUA